rnacentral:pre_miRNA from 1 species
AAUAAGUGCAGCCGUGGAUAUCCGUGCCCAACGUUUGACCAUCCGUCUUAUUUGAAAAAUUUAUAAAAAAUUUAAAAAUAUUUAGUCACUCAUAAAGUACUAUUCAUGUUUUAUCAUCUAAUAGCAAUAAAAAUACUAAUCAUAAAAAAAUUUUAAAUAAGACGAACGGUCAAACGUUGAACGUGAAUAGUGCAAAACUACACUUAUU